CAACAACAGACUCGGUGAAAUUGUAAUUCCGGUGAAGAUGCCGGAUACCUGCGACAGGACGGAAAGACCCCAUGGAGCUUUACUGUAGCUUGACAUUGGGUCUUGGUACUACAUGUACAGGAUAGGUGGGAGGCUUUGAAACCAGGACGCCAGUUUUGGCGGAGCCAUCCUUGGGAUACCACCCUUGUAGUACUGGGACUCUAACCAUAGGCCAUGAAUCUGGUCUUGGGACACUGUCAGGUGGGCAGCUUGACUGGGGCGGUCGCCUCCCAAAAGGUAACGGAGGCGCUCAAAGGUUCUCUCAGUACGGUCGGAAAUCGUACGUAGAGUGUAAAGGCAAAAGAGAGCUUGAUUGCAAGACAUACAGGUCGAGCAA
rnacentral:rRNA from 1 species